rnacentral:lncRNA from 1 species
UUACAGAAAAGUGGGAAUGAAAAGACUUUAAUGGACAUCAACAAAGGGCUUUUGAUUUCAACUGAAUUUACUUAACUCAGUGCUCAUGGAAAGAAUACAAGGGUGAGGCCUGAUGGUGGUUGCUGUGAGGAAGGGUGUGAAACUGAUUAAAGCAGGACUACUUUCAAGGUCUUCCCAUCUAGCCAGGAGAGAGUUGUGCAUAUAGCUGCCUUUAACAGUCUGUGGAGAGCUGCAUUAGAAAUGGGGCUUCCCAGGUGGGCUCAGUGGUAAAGAAUCCACUUGCCAGUGUAGGAGAUGCAGGUUCAAUCUGUGAGUCAGAAGAUCCCUUACAUAAGGAAUUGGCAACGCACUCCAGUAUUCUCACCUGAAGAAUCCCAUGGACAGAGGAGCCUGGUGGGCCAUAUGUAGUUCAAGGGGUCACAAAGAGUUGGACACAACUGAGCAACUAAACGUUAGAAAUAGAAAGCUUUAUUGAGCACAGGUGAAUGAUUUUAUUGGGAAGACUUCACAGAAUUGGUGGUCCUUUAUCUGAGCCCUUCAAAAUAAAACUUUACCAGGGGGAGAAAGGGCACACCAACCCGAAGAAAUGCUGUGAACAAAGUUACGAAGUUAUGGUGUGCCUAGAGACCUUCUCACGGCCCAGCAUAAAGACCAUAACCCUAGACGCCUGGAGGAUCAAACAGGCCAUUUAACACACGAGGUUGGAAAUGGCAAUAAGGAAGACCCACUUCCAGCACUAAGAAGCCGCAGCUGACAAUCUGGCGGUGAUGGGACACAGUGGACCCAUCAAUUGCCUAUUAGACACGUGCCUGCCAUAUAUUUUAAUGGGAACCGUAUGUGUGCAGUCCAUGAGUACUUACUGCAAAGGAAGUGAAGUGCUGAGUCCCACCACCCACCCACAUCUGCGGCUUCACAAGCCACAAGAAAGUGGAAAACAAACACGCCACUGGCAUACCCGGAAACCAUGGAAGUCUGGCAAAACCAACCAGAAAGGAAAAGAGAAAUGGAGUGUGGAGACUGUGCUGGUGGGAAGCUGGAGCGUUACAAAAGACAAAGCACAAAGGAAACCAAUUAUACUAUUACACUGUCUGACAUUGACAAUCAGAUUACCAGCCCUCUCUUGGCAAAGCUUUAUAGCCUGGCUGCUGGCCCCCUUCAGAUGGAAUGCCUUGGACUUUGUGCUCCCUCUCCAGAAACAGUUUAUCAGAAUCUGA